CAGCGAUUUAAGACGGGGUUUCCUGAACCGUUACCUUCAUCUGUGAUUAAAACCGGUGACACCUCGGGGAAGUGUGGAGAGGGGGAAAUUGCUUCAAAUGGAAAACGAAGAGGUCGUAAUAUUGAAAUACCUGUCACGCGGGGUCGUCGUAGGACAAUACCUGUCACGCGGACAUGUGGUCAUUGACUUUUGAUCCCGAAAGUUACGGCGUAGCUGCAGUAUUUCUUCUUCUGGCUCACGACCGCAUGUUGCUCAUCUCCACACGAAUUUCUAUGUGUCGCUUCCACGGGUCUCUUCCCUGUCAGUCGCGUGCGGCCCACCUGCCGGCACUUGGAGUAGGUUGCGCUGCCGUCGUCUUGACUCCGGCGCCGCCUCCGGCCUUUGGACGGUCGUGGACGGCACCCAAACGCGUGUUGGCCCCGGCGGGCGGACUUCUCCGCUCUCAUCAAGCUGCGACUACAUGAAUUCAACGGUACAGGCAUCAUCCCCCUACCCGGAGCCAAGAUAGACGCAUCAAGCGUCUGUCGUCCUCCCGAGCGCUGAGGGGAAGAUAUCGGAAAGAAAGAUUGAAUGAGUAGGAGAGGAGCCUCUGAGAAGACUUGCGAUGACCUUGCGGGAUGGAAAUGGCUCCUCCAAGCCCGACCCACAUCAUGGCUGCCCGCCGUUACCUUACUCCUCGGACUGAACCAUGGAGGUCUCUCCAGGCGUAGGAGAUGAUUGAUUCGUAGAACAGCUCAGCCCGGCCAAAAUCGCUCGCAGCCGGCCAUGCCCUAAAGAGAAUGAAUGCUCCUCUUCCGAGACGCCGAGAGGCUUCACCGUCGCUCGCCGCCACCGUCGUCUGGGCGGCAACCAAGCACCUGCGCAGGGGAACGUAACCCUCCGGAAACCCCCCGCCGCCGUGCCGACCGACCUCUCCAUAUGUUCCCAGCACACCGUCGUCAAUGCCCUUUUAUGGGCUGCGAGAUCCGUGCUAAUGGCUAGCGUGUGCUACGACAUGGCGGGAGGAGACGGCUGCCGAUCUCCCUCCCUAAUGAAACCGCGGCAGGACGAGGACAAUGAUAACGUCGGAAGGGAGGAGCCGCAACGGGGAAAUUAAGAAGAAACGAAAAUUCUGGACACGUUCGCAUUCGCCGAAUAUAUCGGCUUCAACUUAUUACGAGAGUCCGGGGGAUUCGCUCUCUGCGGGGUAGGAACUGCAACCAAUGCUCGUCGCUCUUCUUCGUUUAUGAAGCAUUUCCUGCCUUAUAAAGGCAGCCGAGGUUACUUAUCUCCACCGUUCAAAAGGAAAGAUCAGGAUUCAAAAGUGAUGAUGAGGCAGCAAAGGUGGAAUAAAUAGAGAACCCUCCCCGUGAUCGAUAUGUAGAUCUUGAUAAAUAGUGAUGAUGACAUUUUUGUCAUCCAACGGCUGUGAUUCAAAACUUAGGGGACGGAGACUAAUUCUUAUUGUCAUUUUAUU
rnacentral:lncRNA from 1 species